GAUGAACGCUGGCGGCGUGCCUAAUACAUGCAAGUCGAGCGCAUGGAGUAAGAGCUUGCUCUUAUGAAGUUAGCGGCGGACGGGUGAGUAACACGUGGGUAACUUGCCCAUAAGACUGGGAUAACUCCGGGAAACCGGGGCUAAUACCGGAUAAUAUUGUGACCUGCAUGGUUCAAAUUUGAAAGGCGGCUGCGGCUGUCUCUUAUGGAUGGUCACGCGUCGCAUUAGCUAGUUGGUGAGGUAACGGCUCACCAAGGCAACGAUGCGUAGCCGACCUGAGAGGGUGAUCGGCCACACUGGGACUGAGACACGGCCCAGACUCCUACGGGAGGCAGCAGUAGGGAAUCUUCCGCAAUGGACGAAAGUCUGACGGAGCAACGCCGCGUGAGUGAUGAAGGCUUUCGGGUCGUAAAACUCUGUUGUUAGGGAAGAACAAGUGCUAGUUGAAUAAGCUGGCACCUUGACGGUACCUAACCAGAAAGCCACGGCUAACUACGUGCCAGCCGCCGCAGUAA
rnacentral:rRNA from 1 species